rnacentral:pre_miRNA from 1 species
GAUAGGAUGAGGAAGGAAAGAGGGCCCCAAGAGCAGUGGGCAUGGGAACAUGAUGGAAGGCUAAAGCUCUCUUAGUUCCUCGUGCAACGCUGAAAGAGGCUAUGGUUGAGUUUUCGUGAUGCCUUCCAUGCCUAUUAUUCUUUGGAGCCCCUUGCUUGUCUUUUUGUGU